UACGGAGGGUGCAAGCGUUAUCCGGAUUCACUGGGUUUAAAGGGUGCGUAGGUGGGCAGGUAAGUCAGUGGUGAAAUCUCUGGGCUUAACCCGGAACUGCCGUUGAUACUAUCUGUCUUGAAUGUAGUGGAGGUGAGCGGAAUAAUGUCAUGUAGCGGUGAAAUGCUUAGAUAUGACAUAGAACAUCGAUUGCGAAGGCAGCUCGCUACACUAUGAUUGACACUGAGGCACGAAAGCGUGGGGAU
rnacentral:rRNA from 1 species